rnacentral:lncRNA from 1 species
CGCGGGAGGGGAGGGCGCCGGCGCGCCAAUGAGUUCACUUUCUUUCUCUCCCUCGCGCUCCCCCUCUCCCCGCCCGCCGGCCCCUCCAGCCUCCUCCAAGGCGGCGGACCAGGCCGGGCCGGAGUUUUCGGGGCUCGGCCCGCGAGCGGGAGGACCGGGGAGGCGAGGGAGGAGGAAGGCGAGAAGGGCCAGGUGAGGAGGCCCGCGGGACGCCCGGCCGGGGAGCGGCAUCCAGGACCGUAAUUGUGCGGCGGGGGACGCGCCGGGCCGAGUGUGCCCGAGCCCGGGCGCGUACACGUGUCCGUGUGUGUGUGUGUGUGUGUGUGCGCGGGAGUGUGCGAGGGAGAGGAGGAGAGGAGAAGAGAGGAGCCUACCAUGCGCUUCUCCCGGUGCAGAUCGCGGGAGAGCCCAAUCACGGGGCGAGCUGGACCUGGCUGUGAUCAUUUAUAAUCCUUGACUCCUCCGCUCCGCCACUUGUCAAGAUGACAGGGGUCAUCCGUGAAUAACACUUCACGCUGAUGAAUGGCUCUUGCUGGCUUUCGGCUCUGAUGACGGGUCUGCCCGCAGCUGAUUGCAAACACUAAUGAACUUACUGCGCCAUUUGAAAUUCACACGCACCAACAAAGUGCGGGGGUACGUGCGUGGGGGUCUGUCCUUUUCUGCUGCGGAUGGCGGGGAGGCCGCCCUGGGGGAGGGGGCGGGUAAUUGCUUUGGACUUAAGUGGAAACACUUCUCUGUGUAAUCAAACCUCUAACCUUCUUAGAAAACUACUUUUCUUGAUCUUCCGUAGGGUGGGCAUUGCAGGUCAGCUGAGUCACCCGAGGAGGUGGGAGUGCAAGACACUGCCGGGAAGACGGAUUCUGAGGCAGAAGGGUGUAAUUAAGGAUUUCCACUCCCGACAACGUCUAUACACAAAAAUGUGGGACAAAGAAUCAGAACUGCUUGAAAAAGAACAACAUUAACAUGCUUCAAAUCAGAGGCAAGGAACACUCCUGGAAAUUCAUGAGAAUUGACACAGUCCCAUUUAAGAAAGAAAUCAAAAUUCACAAAAUGAAGAGGGUGAGAGUAUCUACCAGAAGAAAUUCCAGCUGAAAAUUCAGUGACACUUCAAAAUUCAAUUUUGGAUUAUAUUUUCUAAGAGUCGUAAAAUCAAUGUUAUAAACUGAGAUAGCAUUUUCUAUGUAUUUUAAUAGCUGGAACACUGUAUACAAAUUUUUGCUGGCUAUCUUGUUUAAUAUUUUAUAUAUGAUUCUAAAAUUAUAUAAAUUUUGGGAUGAACCUUUAAAUAUAUAUUCAUUCUAUUUAUUAUCAGAAAUUAAAGAGUGCUGCUUGUAAAAUGGAAUAGAAACUAACUCAACUUGUG